AUUUAACUACUAAGGGAGUAGGGUGGAUGCCUUGGCACUGGGAAGCGAUGAAGGACGUGGCAGGCUGCGAUAAGCCCCGGGGAGCCGCCUAGCAGGCUGUGAUCCGGGGAUCUCCGAAUGGGGUAACCCAGUGCGGGUAAUACCGCACUACCUGCAUCUGAACACAUAGGAUGCAGGGGCGAACCGGGGGAAUUGAAACAUCUUAGUACCCCGAGGAAAAGAAAGCAACAGCGAUUCCCUGAGUAGCGGCGAGCGAAAGGGGAACAGCCCAAACCAGAUGAGUGUUAAAGCCCGCAGGCGUUGCUCAUCUGGGGUUGUAGGUUCAACCCUUCCCAAGCUGCGGUGAGGGAGGGAAACUUUUUCCCUUAGGGGAAUGACACUGGAAAGGUCAGCCAGAGAGGGUGAUAGCCCCGUACCCGAAAAGGGAGAAAGUUUUCCGCGGGUUGAACCUGAGUACCAUCGGACACGAGAAAUCCGGUGGGAAGCUGGGAGGAUCACCUCCCAAGGCUAAAUAUUCCCCAGUGACCGAUAGUGCACAAGUACCGUGAGGGAAAGGUGAAAAGAACCCCGGAAGGGGAGUGAAAUAGAGCCUGAAACCCUGCUCCUACAAGCGGUGGGAGCCUUAUCCUGAAAGAUUUAUCUUUCAGGAGGGGUGACCACGUACCUUUUGCAUAAUGGGCCGGUGAGUUACUCAGAGUAGCGAGGUUAAGGGGUUUUAAGCCCCGGAGCCGUAGCGAAAGCGAGUCCUAACCGGGCGUCAAGUUACUCUGAGUAAACCCGAAACCAGGUGAUCUACCCGAGGCCAGGGUGAAGUGCACUUAACCGUGCAUGGAGGCCCGAACGCACCUACGUUGAAAAGUGGGGCGAUGAGCUUCGGGUAGGGGUGAAAGGCCAAUCAAACCUGGCGAUAGCUGGUUCUCCCCGAAAUAGCUUUAGGGCUAGCCUCGCGCAUGGAUGGUGGGGGUAGAGCACUGGAUGAGAAAGGGGUCUUCGGACUCCUUUACUCAACCAAACUCCGAAUACCACCAUUCCUUAGCGCGGGAGUCAGACCAUGGGGGAUAAGCUUCAUGGUCGAGAGGGGAACAGCCCAGACCGCCAGCUAAGGUCUCUAAAGCAGGCUAAGUGGUAAAGGAUGUGGGGUCGCUUAGAUAGCCAGGAGGUUGGCUUAGAAGCAGCCAUCCUUUAAAGAGUGCGUAACAGCUCACUGGGUGAGUGAUCCUGCGCCGAAAAUGUAACGAGGCUUAAGCCUGCUACCGAAGCUGCGGGAGUCACUUGGUUCUUUGUCCUGAGUUCCAUCCUUUUGGAAUGUGAACUUAGGACAUGGAACCUGAAAGUGGCUCGGUAGGGGAGCAUCCCACGGUAGGUUGAAGGGGAACCGUGAGGUACCUGGACGACGUGGGAGAGAUGAUGCCGGCAUGAGUACACGAGAGGAGGGUGAGAAUCCCUCCCGCCGGAAGCCUAAGGUUUCCUGGGGAAGGCUCGUCCACCCAGGGUUAGUCGGUCCUAAGCCGAGGCCGAAAGGCGUAGGCGAUGGGCAGCCGGUCAAAAUUCCGGCACCACCUUGGGCGCUGCUAAGCCGAUGGGGUGACGCAGCAGGAUAGGCCCGCCUGGUGCUGAAAUACCAGGUCCAAGCAGUAAGGGAGAGGGUGUAGGCAAAUCCGCACCCUCGUUAAUCCCGAGCUGUGAUGGGGGUUCCCUUUUAUAGGGACGAAGGGGUCGACUCCAGCUGCCCAGAAAAACCUCUAGGUGAUGCGCUCAGGUGACCGUACCGCAAACCGACACAGGUAGGCUGGCUGAGUAUGCUAAGGCGAGCGAGCUAACCCCCGUCAAGGAACUCGGCAAAUUGGCCCCGUAACUUCGGGAGAAGGGGUGCCUCGUGUAGGGUGUACCAUUAAUGGGAAGCCCGAGGAGGCCGCAGCGAAGAGGCCCAGGCGACUGUUUACUAAAAACACAGGUCUCUGCAAACCCGAAAGGGGACGUAUAGGGACUGAGGUCUGAUCAGUGCCGGAAGGUUAAGAGGCGGGCUGCAAGGCCCAAAUCGAAGCCCCGGUGAACAUCGGCCCUAACUAUAAGGGUCCUAAGGUAGCGAAAUUCCUUGUCGGGUGAGUUCCGACCCGCAUGAAUGAUGUAACGACUUGGGCACUGUCUCGACGGGGGGCUCGGUGAAAUUGUAGUAUCGGUGAAGAUACCGAUUAUCCGCGGCAGGACGGAAAGACCCCGGAACCUUUACUGCAGCCUGGCAUUGAAUCUUGAUAUGGCAUGUAUAGAAUAGGUGGGAGGCUGAGAAGGGGAGGCGCUAGUCUCCCUGGAGCCGUCAGUGGAAUACCACCCUUGUCAUGUUGAGGUUCUAACCCGCAUCCGUUAUCCGGAUGGGGGACAGUGCUUGGUGGGCAGUUUGACUGGGGCGGUUGCCUCCUAAAGAGUAACGGAGGCGCCCAAAGGUCCCCUCAGCGCGUAUGGAAAUCGCGUGUAGAGUGCAAAGGCAUAAGGGGGCUUGACUGCGAGAGGGACACCUCGAGCAGGUGCGAAAGCAGGGCUUAGUGAUCCGGCGGUCCCGUGUGAGAGGGCCGUCGCUCAACGGCUAAAAGGUACUCCGGGGAUAACAGGCUUAUCUCCCCCGAGAGUUCCCAUCGACGGGGAGGUUUGGCACCUCGAUGUCGGCUCGUCGCAUCCUGGGGCGGUAGCCCGUCCCAAGGGUUAGUCUGUUCGCCUAUUAAAGCGGCACGCGAGCUGGGUUUAGACCGUCGCAAGACAGGUCGGUCCUUAUCCGCCGCGGACGUAAGAGACUUGAGGGGAGCUGUCCCUAGUACGAGAGGACCGGGAUGGACGGACCUCUGGUGUACCAGUUGUCGCGUCAGCGGCAUCGCUGGGUAGCCAUGUCCGGACGGGAUAACCGCUGAAGGCAUCUAAGCGGGAAGCCCACCCCAAGAUAAGGUCUCUCACUCCGUCAGGGAGGUAAGGCCCCUGGAAGAUGACCAGGUUGAUAGGCCAGUGGUGUAAGGCGCGUAAGCGCUUCAGCCUACUGGUACUAAUAGGCCGAGGGUUAAAU
rnacentral:rRNA from 1 species